UUGAUAUGUUUAUUUAAACAAAAACCAGCAAAUAAUUAUUACUAUACUAUUUAUUUAAGAGGAGAUUAACUUUUUUAACUUUUUUUUAAAUAACUAUUCGCUUCUAUCCUCAUUUAUUAUAAGUUAAAGUCAAGAAUUCAUGAAAUUCUUACCAUAAACUUGGUAUGUUUGGUGUGUGCCAAUGUUUGUGUGGAUUUCCUUGAGCGCAUUUCCGGUUUCCGCUUCCGCUUGCCAAGCGGCAGGGGGUGGCAAAAACUAUUAGCCACUUGGCGCUAAAUAACACCACCCACGCCCACUCUACCCUGCCGCUGAAGCAAAACACUAAGCAUCAAUUAACCCAAUUUUCAGAAUCCAUUUUCACCUGCAGUUACGCCUUCAGCUUACCGCUCCGGAGCACUGGCUUUUUCUGAGUAUUUUUCUAGCUGCGUGUUUCACAGCUCCACGAUUACAUAUAUGUAUAUAUAUGCCUUUUUUUUUAGAGAGGUUUUGUUUCUUUUGCUCUUUCUUUUUGCCAGCAAAUACCCAAGUGGCAGUGUUGAAACCAACGUUCAAACUCCCAAUUCCCCAGUCCCACCUAAUCCUAUAGCUAUAAUGCCGGGCACUUCUUGUCCAGACUUUUCCGUGUUCCGUGCUGUUUUUUCUUUUCUUUCGCAGGCGUUGGCGCUAUUGUUGUAGUUUGGUUUGGUUUGGUCACUGGAUCUGGAUCUGGAAAUGGAGUGGAAGCUGAAAUCAUAAUUAAUCCAUCGAUUUUCAUCUUUUUUCAGCUUAAAUAAUUCACACAAAUCAUUUCAGCAAUAAAUAUGAAUUCUUUCGCAGCAUUUAACAAUGAAUAUUUCAGCAAACAAAAGUUUAUUUUCAGCGUAGGUUCUUUUUUGUGAAAUAACAUGGGAUCCAAUUACAAAUUGAUGAGCAGCCGCCUGGAAAUUUGGUGUGACAGAGUGUCAUAAACUGCAGAAUGCGGGUGGCCAGCGUGCCCGGCGCUUGAUUGAUUCUCUCGGUCAAAAAACACCUGGGACGAUGCCAGAUGUCGAGGAUAAUAAAUUUGUGAAGAUGUGACAACACUUGGGAACAGUUUAUGUUGCUGGAUGUCUGUUCCAAAACGCCUAAGAAAUUCGUUGACCGAUUGGGAAAUUAAUUAUGUAUUAUGUCAAAUUAAACAAUGCUUUAAAAUUUAUUUAUUAAGAUAAACGAUUAUCAAUGAAGAAAUAAAUUCACCAUUUCCCAAGUAAUUGUAAAAAAGAACCUCUUAAAUUAAUCCUAUGAUUAGCAAUCUGAAAAAAGAUCUUAAAAAAUGAUUUAAAAUGGAAAUUUAGUAAAUUAAACUAAACUAAGCUUUCUAUUCGAUAUCUUUGCCAAGAAUUUUAUAUUAUAACCAACUAGUCUUCCAUUUAUGAUGUUCGUAGAAUAAACAAUACAAAAUUUAUCGAACUAAAAACAAAAACCAAGACGAUUUUAUUGCUCAUAAAUAUUCUAAGAAUAGUACAAUAAUGUAAAAUAAAGAAUGUAACAACUGCUUCAACUCCGUAAUAACUCUGUUAACUAACCUUAAGAUCUGUAAAUAAAAAACUAAUUUAUAUAAAAUACCAUGAAA